CUCUUCUGCGACGAAGAAAUGAGUCGUAAUACAAAAGGGCUAUACAAAAAGCUGGCGGAUUUGAAUGAAAUGGCCAACGGCCUUGCACCACCCCAUUUGUGAACAUGAAUGUGAACUGGAUGGGACAGUAGCGUUAGCGUGUAUUCGUCAUGUAAUAAAUUGAGCAAAAUGUAAAUAAUGUAGAAGCAUAAAUCUUAAAGAAAUCGAUUCACAGCCUUCGAAAUAGGUUAUGCUCUUUUGGCCACGAAAACUGCUAAAACAUUGCGAUAGAACAACAGUUUGGAGGCGUCCCACAGUCAAUUGGAUUUCGGAUGGUACUCUGGAUGGAUAAAAGCACAAAACCUGUGCGUGGAACCGCUGGCUCUGUUUGCAUGUUGGUCAACAGGUCGGCAAAGCUGUACAAGCUCAGCUGUACAAAUUUUCUUUCCUCGUUUGUGGACCGGGAGACCCUGCACUUUUGUAUCUGGAGGAAUUUCGGGCCUCCCAAAUGCGAAUACGAAUGUGACGCUGCCAGUGACCGGCAAGAAAAUCCGUGCCGUGAACUAUAACCCGAUCACUCAACAAAUUAAUGAGAUCGAAGGCAGAAGUCACAGCAUCAAGCAGGAGCCUCUUGGCCAUCUCCGGACAGCCAUUCGACAUUAUCAUAGCCCAUAGCAUAGACGCCAUUGAAAUAGACAGCGCGGAGGGUGUGGCAUCAGCGGCCCCAGUGAACAAGGACUGUGUAUCAGCCUCCUGUCGCCAUGACGGCCAAAGACUGCCCGGCGGAUCAAAAAAUGAAAUUUAUUAAUUAUGCAGCCAGGCUCCGGUUUUCAAUUUCGCAAAAGUUUUUCGAUUUCCCGUUUUUACUAUCCGCAAGACUUCUUCGUUUUUAAAACAACAAAAAUUUCUUCGAUGAAAUGAAAAGUAAACGGCUUUUAAU
rnacentral:sRNA from 1 species